rnacentral:rRNA from 1 species
GUAGCGUGAAGGAUGACUGCCCUAUGGGUUGUAAACUUCUUUUAUACGGGAAUAAAGUGAGGCACGUGUGCCUUUUUGUAUGUACCGUAUGAAUAAGGAUCGGCUAACUCCGUGCCAGCAGCCGCGGUAAUACGGAGGAUCCGAGCGUUAUCCGGAUUUAUUGGGUUUAAAGGGAGCGUAGGCGGACGCUUAAGUCAGCUGUGAAAGUUUGCGGCUCAACCGUAAAAUUGCAGUUGAUACUGGGUGUCUUGAGUACAGUAGAGGCAGGCGGAAUUCGUGGUGUAGCGGUGAAAUGCUUAGAUAUCACGAAGAACUCCGAUUGCGAAGGCAGCUCGCUGGACUGUAACUGACGCUGAUGCUCGAAAGUGUGGGUAUCAAACAGGAUUAGAUACCCUGGUAGUCCACACAGUAAACGAUGAAUACUCGCUGUUUGCGAUAUACAGUAAGCGGCCAAGCGAAAGCGUUAAGUAUUCCACCUGGGGAGUACG